AUGAACUUGUGUCAUGGACAUGUUGUGUAGAUUAUUGCAUCACCCAGAUAAUAUUGUUUACAUGUUUGUCCACUCCAAGUCUCAUUUUGAAAAGCAAUCCCCAAUGCCAGAAGUGGGACCUAGUGGGAAGUCUUUGAGUCAUGGUGGCAGCUCUCUCAUAAAAGUCUUGGUGACAAAUCAAGAUUAUUAAGGGAAAUUUGAACAAGUUGUGAGUGAUUCAGCUAUUCUCCUCCAGACAAAGUGGCACAGGUAAAGUAAUCAUGUACAUCUGACCUUUAAAAUGUAAUACUCC
rnacentral:lncRNA from 13 species